GCCACAUCACGUUGAAAGACCAGUUCCUGUAUGAUUGCUGAAGUUAAGCAACAUCAAGCCUGCUCAGUACUUAGAUGGGAAACCACUUGGAAAUACCAGGUGCUAU